CCGUUCAGUUUUUCAAAUUAUCUAUUACAUCAGUAAUUUAUUUCGUCAGGAUAACUACCAAAUAUGGUAAUGGCCCUCGGCUAAACACAGAGCCAAUCCGCCAUUUUUUCUUCUCGCUAAGAUUUUUUGUAGUCCUAUUGGAAAAAUGCAGAAUGUCUGGUUAUUUUAGCCACACACAGCUCAAAACUGUUCCUCGUUUUAAGGAAGGGUGGUGUGGCAGUAUUUAAACCCAGGAGCUGAUGACACUACUGCUAAAAAAACACAGAAGAAAAAGUAGUGUGUGUGUGUGUGUGUGUGUGUGUGUGUGUGUGUGUGUGUGUGUGUGUGUGUGUGUGUGUGUGUGUGCGCGCGCGCGCGCGUGGUUCAUUCGUUCGUGUCUCCAGGCUAGUGGCUAAGUACUGAGGGCUUCAUCUAUCUAAAAGGAGUCAUUUCCAUCUGAAUGUGACAGCACCGGGACACAGCAGCAGAGCGAGUCCACAUCCAGAAGGCUGGAGCCGUGUUUCACUGACAGGCUGUCAGACUAAAGCCCUGAUGAGCUCAGCUGGGACAAACUGGUCUGAUGUUUAGGAACACAGAACGCUCAGAUGUUGGAGCUUCACAUCACCUACUGAGGAAGGAGACCCACCAGUAAAGAGACGGUCUGGACCAGACCAAAAAUAUGGCGAUGACAUCAUGGAACUGGUCUUUGGAAAAGUUUUCCCUGAACCAACUCCGUUUCUAGAUGAGGUAGAGAAGAUCAGCAUCUCACCAACUCUCUGGUCUCAGUAUUCAGACAAUGGAGGUCUCCCACUGUUAUCCAGGACCAGUUUGAAGCCCACAUACUGCCCCUUCCUCAUCAUCAGGAAACGUCAAUCCGUAUCCUGAGGACAACAGAAGACGGCAGGAGGACAGGAACUCUGAGACCUAGAUACCACCAGCACCGAGACACAAAGCACCUGUGUGCACAACGCCUGUUUAACUACUAAAGCCUGUUUAUUAUAUUGUUCUACUUAUUUGCUGUGAGGUUAAUACUUAGAAAAUUUGUAUAUUAAUGUAAACAAUAAAAAAAAUCACUGAUUGUAUGUUUUCUUUUAGAUGUAAUGGUCCAAACUCAGCCUUGUAGACAUUUAUUGCAUCCUGUAGGUAAAUACACAGAACAGGCUCAGAUCCAGGAUGACCCAGCAUGCUCUUCUUCCAUUCUGGCUGUUAGGGAUUGUAUCAAUAACUCAAUGCCUACUGAUGUUUUCACCUAACGGUAUUUAUUUAGAAUGCAGGUAAGAUUUAACUAUAUUUGUUAGCAAAGCAGACUGAUCUUGGGAAUUUCACUGCAGCACUGAUGUCCACCUCUCUGUACACAUUAGAGAGAAUUACCACUUUACAGCUAAACACAUAUUUAAUAAAGAUAUAGGCUACGCAUUGCAGACAAUAAAAACAAAGUUGUAAGCAUUAGAAUUAUAAUGAUCACAUUAAAGAACAUUUGGAGGAAUGUUCUUUA